rnacentral:misc_RNA from 1 species
GAUGAAGAACGCAGCGAAAUGCGAUAAGUAAUGUGAAUUGCAGAAUUCAGUGAAUCAUCGAAUCUUUGAACGCACAUUGCGCCCGCCAGUAUUCUGGCGGGCAUGCCUGUUCGAGCGUCAUUUCAACCCUCAAGCCCAGCUUGGUGUUGGGGAUCGGCACAGGCGCCCUCGGGCGCCAGCCGUCCCCUAAAUCUAGUGGCGGUCCCGCUGCAGCCUCCUCUGCGUAGUAGUUUUCUCCUCGCAAGGGCAGCUCGGUGGCGACCUCGCCGUAAAACCCCCAACUUCUGAAAGGUUGACCUCGAAUCAGGUAGGAAUACCCGCUGAACUUAAGCAUAUCAAUAAGCGGAGGA